CUUGAAGCAUAUAUAAAAAGAUAGACUUGCUCCAUCAGUGCAGCAGCAGCCGUUCUUCGAUCGUUUUCUGUGUCUUUGUCUCUCUGUCUUUCUCUGUGCAAGAUGAGAUUUAACUUGUUACCUUCUUUAUAUGAAUAUUUUAUUUUUCUGUAAAAGUCUACCAUAAAGGAGAGAUGGCUCUUGCUAAUCGGCCUAAGAAGGAGACGCCCAGUUUUGUAUACAAGAAGCCGAAGAAUAUGCUACUUCCUGGAACUAGCCUUGCCUCUGUUGAAUCCUUAUCUGUCCCUCUUGUUUGUCCAGGAAGUUGUUCUCUCAGCAGAUAUUCGAUGUGCUGAAUGUCAAAAGAGAGUAGCUGAAAUAAUGUCAAGAAUGACCGAUACGGAAUCUGUGUCAGUUAACGUGUUGGAGAAGAAAGUAACUCUCACUUGUAGAUAUCCUGGUGUUAAAGUACCCACAAGCCGAGUUGCUGCUGUGUACAGGAAUCCUCUCAGCAAAAUUGCCAUGUUAAAGCGCAUUUUUCGCUCUGCCUGCAGCUGAUUACUUGUAUAAACAUUCCAACAUAUACAUUUUACAUCAGCCUAAUGUUCCCUGUUGAGGGCAUAGGCGUGGCCGUAUUAUCUUCCUCAAAUCUUAGCGGCAAGAAAACGAGUGUGUUAAUCAGGUUAAAUUAGUUGUACACAUAAUUGUCACAUAACAUUGAGGAAAUAAAAAAGAAAGGGAAAGUACAGAACCGUAUUGUGGUUUAUGCUAUUUUCAAGCAGAGUAUUAUGGUUUAGGUUUUAACAAAUUGAUACCUGUUAUUAAGUUGGUCAGAA
rnacentral:misc_RNA from 1 species